GGCUGCCGCCCUUCGUCUUCGUCAUGGCCGCUUGCAAGUCCGAGGGGGGGGCACUGAGAAGCAUCUCUGGCAUUUCGUAAUGUUCCAGAGGUUUCGGUGCUGGCCUUUUGUUAUCUGGCUGGUAGGUCUCACUCCGCAUCUCUGCCUCCCUUUGUGAUAACAUUAUGUGCAGUGUCUGCUAUAACCCAAAAUAUUAGGGACCAAGUUCGCCCUGGGACAGCAUGAGCUAAUGCCCGUGUCAGAAGGCUCCCGACGUGGUCCAGACGCAGCUGCUGUAAUGCCAAAGGAACGUGUCCAUCCAGAUACAUCUGUAUGGACUUCAGCUUCAUUUCAGAACAGCGUUUCUAUCUUUACCUGAAGGAAAAGCUGUUGUUUCAGGAUAGCCCAAGGAUGGGGCACAUGCCAAGCUGGAUGGCACGAGGCUGGAGGCCCCUCCUGUGCCUGCAGAAAACCCCAGAGGUGCUGCCAGGAGAGCCUGCUUGAAAUGACCUCCUUCCUGCAGCUCUGUUUGUCCUGCAAGCAAACCAGCUUCAGCAGAAAGGGGCUGGAAACAGACAGCUAUGGAAAUCAGUGAUUUCAGAGGGCUCUGAGGGGAUGAGGAUCCUAAGUGAGACACUUGAGUUAAAUACCUAUAGUUAGACCAGCUGAGCAUUUUCUAUUCCUCCCCUUACAGGUGCUUGAGAAGCAAUAUAAGAGCUGGACUAGAGAGGAUCUGUUCUGAAGUUACUGUCAGUACUGUUCUCCCUGCGGGGUCAGGCUCAGAUAACCAUAACCCCAUGAGAACAGCCCUCUUCCUUAAGCAUAAGAGUUCCCAGCGCUGCAGACGGCGGUGCACAAUGCCUGAGCACUGCUCAAGAGGUUCCCAUCACAGCAGAGCAAAACAGGCUCCUGCAUUCCGUAUUUCUAACCAGGGCAUUACCCGUCAGUUUAAAGGACAGUGAUUGGAGUGAUGGCACCUGAAGGCUUAUUCCUGCCAGCUGGCACAAUCACUUCUGAGAGAUUUCCUGAGGAACAUCAGCAGCAGGAGCAGAUAGCUUAGACCCUGCCUGUCUCCUACCAGCAGCACAGAAACAAGCAAUCACAUAAAAAUUCACAGGAACAAAAACAUCUUUGCCCACAGUUGCCAUUAGAAUAGAAAACUAAGUAGGGUUUGGCUUCCCAUUCAGCUGGAACUUCUUAAAAAGCUCCUUUUGUUACAUUAAAUAUGACACUUUCCCGCAGCUUGCUCCUCAGGGGAGAACACAGCCCCCUACAAGUGGAUCGCAAACAUACCUGGUACCUUUGGGCCUAGCAACGACUCACGGCUCCUUGGCUGGAUCCAAGCAGGACACAUCACACGAACUUACAGGAAGUCUGUGACGUGCACAGAAGAUUCCAGCUGACAACAAAAGUCAGAAGUUUGUUAGAGAAGAGGGAGGAGACAGCAGUUGUUCAUAGCUAAAACCCAGCACAAAUGCUGCGGAGAUGCCUGACUGACUCAGCCCCCACAGGCCCACCACCUGCCCCUUCUGGGCCUGAGUUUCCUCAGCUGUAAGUUGUCAUUGCUUGAAGAUAUUCAGAUUCUGUGUAUUAGAAGAGCAUUCCCGGAAAAGUGAAUGUUAUUGAUCUAACAUUGCUCUCAGUAAAAGUAAUGAGAGUCUGAGGAAAACAUGGUAUGUGAAGGGGCUUUUAAAUGUAAGGUCAAAUUGAUACUUUUUGUGCCUAAAAACUCAUCUGUUUUUACCAUUUAAACUGGCUAGUUUCGUAAAAAACUCCCUCCCUUAAUCGCUUUAGACCAUCACGGUACAAUGGUACUACUUUUAGAGAACAUUAGUGCCACAGAAAUAAUUAAACCUAAAAAAAGCAAGCACAGUGCUAGUUGGAAAUAUAGCCCAGGGCU